GAUGAACGCUGGCGGCGUGCCUAAUACAUGCAAGUCGAGCGAACAGACGAGGAGCUUGCUCCUCUGACGUUAGCGGCGGACGGGUGAGUAACACGUGGAUAACCUACCUAUAAGACUGGGAUAACUUCGGGAAACCGGAGCUAAUACCGGAUAAUAUAUUGAACCGCAUGGUUCAAUAGUGAAAGACGGUUUUGCUGUCACUUAUAGAUGGAUCCGCGCCGCAUUAGCUAGUUGGUAAGGUAACGGCUUACCAAGGCAACGAUGCGUAGCCGACCUGAGAGGGGGAUCCGCCACAAUUGAACCGGGACAACGGUCAAGACCCCUACGGAGGGCGGCAGUAGGAAUCUUUCCGCAUGGGGGGAAGGCCUAACGGAGCAAGGCGGGGUGGGGAAGAAAGUCCUUGGGUUGGUAAACCCCUGUUAUAGGGAAGGAACAAAUGUGUAGGUAACUAUGCCGGUCUUAACGGUACCAAACAAGAAAGCACCGCUUAACUACUU
rnacentral:rRNA from 1 species